UUGAAGGAAUAAAUCUAAAAAAAUACAUUCACAUUUUCGAAUUAAUUUAAAACAUAAAAUAAAACUAAAUAGAUCCACUUCAUUUAUCACAAUGAAUUAUAUUUGUUCGAUACGCUGUUGUCAAUAUAAAUAUUGAAUAGUGAAAAAAAAACAAAAGAAAUUUCAAUUGACAACAAUAAAAAAUAUUUUUUUUAAAAAAAGACUUGUGUUAGAUUGGCACUACAAAUCUAAUCCAAAAAAAAUAGAUACAAUUAAAGUAAAAAGAAAAAGUUUUAUAAGAUAACUGUUCGCUUUAAAAUCGAAUGGGACUUCAGCUU
rnacentral:lncRNA from 1 species